ACAAUGAAGAGUUUGAUCCUGGCUCAGGAUGAACGCUAGCUACAGGCUUAACACAUGCAAGUCGAGGGGCAGCAUUCUUCUAGCAAUAGAAGAGAUGGCGACCGGCGCACGGGUGAGUAACACGUAUCCAACCUGCCGAUAACUCCGGAAUAGCCUUUCGAAAGAAAGAUUAAUACCGGAUGGCAUACGAAUAUCGCAUGAUAUUUUUAUUAAAGAAUUUCGGUUAUCGAUGGGGAUGCGUUCCAUUAGUUUGUUGGCGGGGUAACGGCCCACCAAGACUACGAUGGAUAGGGGUUCUGAGAGGAA
rnacentral:rRNA from 1 species